rnacentral:rRNA from 1 species
AUCGCACGCUGGCGGCAGGCCUAACACAUGCAAGUCGAACGAGUGGCGGACGGGUGCGUAAUGUCUGGGACACUGCCUGAGGGAGGGGGAGAACUACUGGAACCGGUAGCAAAUACCGCAUACUAUCGUUUGUGCCCUUAUGGGAUUCGCUAGUAGGUGGGGUAAAGGCUCACCUAGGGGACGAUCCCUACCUGGUCUGAGAGGAUGACCAGCCACAUUGGAACUGAGACACGGCCCAGACUCCUACGGGAGGCAGCAGUGGGGAAUAUUGCACAAUGGGCGAAAGCCUGAUGCAGCAACGCCGCGUGUAUGAAGAAGGCCUUCGGGUUGUAAAGUACUUUCGGCAGGGAGGCGUUACCCAAAUAGAAAGCAACGGCUAACUCCGUGCCAGCAGCCGCGGUAAUUC